rnacentral:rRNA from 1 species
GAUGAACGCUGGCGGCGUGCCUAACACAUGCAAGUCGAACGGAGUCGUUUUGGAAAUCUCUUCGGAGAUGGAAUUCUCGACUUAGUGGCGGACGGGUGAGUAACGCGUGAGCAAUCUGCCUUUAAGAGGGGGAUAACAGUCGGAAACGGCUGCUAAUACCGCAUAAAGCAUUAAAUUCGCAUGUUUUUGAUGCCAAAGGAGCAAUCCGCUUUUAGAUGAGCUCGCGUCUGAUUAGCUAGUUGGCGGGGUAACGGCCCACCAAGGCGACGAUCAGUAGCCGGACUGAGGGGUUGAACGGCCACAUUGGGACUGAGACACGGCCCAGACUCCUACGGGAGGCAGCAGUGGGGAAUAUUGCGCAAUGGGGGAAACCCUGACGCAGCAACGCCGCGUGAUUGAAGAAGGCCUUCGGGUUGUAAAGAUCUUUAAUCAGGGACGAAACAAAUGACGGUACCUGAAGAAUAAGCGCCGGCUAACUACGUG